ACAAGCGCGACAAGAUAACAAAAAGGCCUCUUUGUAAAGCGCAGUGGAGCAAGUGGAGCCGGGGCUUGAGAUACAGAUACAGAUACGGAUACCAAAUACAUAUAUAAAUAUCUAUAUGGCUGGGCCCGCGACUGGAGCUAUUAAAAAUGCGGUGUCGCCGCCUGUCGCCUAUUACCCAUUGCCCGGUUACCUGUGCGAGUAAGUUGCUCAAGUGGUCGCCGGUGCGCCAGGUGCGUGGGCGUUGUGUCUGCCGCUCUGGCGGCGCUCUUGCUGUUCGGACUUAAAUGGGUUACUUGUAAUUAAAAUUGCCGCUGCAACAACCGCCGCUAAUCUUGGCUAAAACUGCGCCAAUUACAGAUUGUAGUUAAGGAGUCUCGACUGUACUUCUUUACUGAGCUCUACCUACACUGACUGCCGCAUUCCUUGCACUCAAACUCAAACUCAAUCCGCAUUCGAAUAGUUGUGUGUCAGUCUGGAGCCGCUCAAGAGUGCUGUCUCUGCUCCUGACAAAAAAUAAAGCGAAGCAAAGCAACCAAGUUGCCUCGUCACUCGUCAUGAAACACGGACAAGAGCGUUGUCGGAGUCCCAUUCCCAUUCCACUCCCGGACUCCAUGCCCAUUCCACUCCCGUAUUCCAUGCCCAUUCCACUCCCGAUUCCAUUCCCAUUCCCAUUUACAGACCCCGUCAACAGGCGGCUGGCCGUAAUCCGAUCUUGCAGUCGUGUCAAGUGUGCUGCAGUCCAGAUACAAGGAGCAUAGCAUGCACUCGCUCACCACCACAACUGAGCAGCGGCAGCAGACCCACACAGAUACUAUUACGAUACCGGGGCAAUUGCCCAUCUGAACCCCAGAAAUCAUAAAACAAUUGUACAACUAGUUUAGAUACUACUAUGCCGCAAUUAAAAUGCGGUCUGCGAUUAGAGAUGGUUUAUGUGGCGGCAACAUCGAGGGUCAUUCGGUGGCUUACUUGCGGUACUUGCAGGUCUUCGGUUCGUCUUUAAAGACGGCUCUACACCUAUUUUUUUUUUAUUUUAGGGCGAAGCCUUAUCGAAACCGCACUGGCAAGGAUGAUGGUUAACCUUAGGUGGUUUGUUUGGAGAUUAGAGCCAGAGGUAGUUGGGCUUAUCUGGUACAAAAUAUAGUGUUUGAUUCUAGAUUGUAUUAAUCUUUGAGUGUACAUUUUGAAAUCUUGAAACGAUAUGUAAUACAAAUAAAUCUUGAUAUGUCUAAAUUAUGGUCCAAAUUUUAGAAAUAUUUAGUUUAUCAUUAAAUCAAGCUCUGUGAAAAGUUUAAUAUAUAAAGUCUGCCUAAAAUAUUAAACUCAUUUAUUACCUUUCCAAGAAUUGAUAUCUUAUGUGAAUAUUUUUACAGUUCAAACUGAUUGAUUUAUUUAUUACUUUUUAUCAACCAUAUAUCACCUAGAUAUGACAAUCUUUAGUGUUCUAAAAAACACAAAUCUUCAUAAAACUUUCACAAAGCGAAACUUGUACUAUUUUUAAGAAACUCAAAAAAAGAAAUCCCAGCGGCAGCGGCAAUCUAAAACCCGUCUAGGCCCUUUGAUUAGUUGGCUUUAUCGCGUAAGCCUACACAUUAUAAAAAUAAAUUACAUUUUAUGUGGUUAAUAAAGCCCACUUGCCUAUCUGCCCACCUACUUUCGGUCUCUAUUUGGAGCAGUUGCCCUUUGCUGGCAACGGUUUUUAUAUCGAGACCUUAUCGUCAUACUAUAACUCACAAAACCUGGUAAAUAUGAGUGUGAAAAGUGGUAAAGAAGAGGGUAUAAGAGUAUAGGAAAAGAUACUGAAAAUGUCUGACAAAUGAUUGACGACAACGGCAUGAUAAACGACUUUCCUACGCCAAUGCAGGCAGCAAUGGGUUAAGGCAUAUCUUUUUAUAUGUAUAAGUGAGUUUAUCAAUGUGACGACACUAUAUUCUAUAGACAUCUGCGUCCAUGUGAGUAUCUUAUCGCGGGGCUUCCACUGGAGAGGUGUCGCAUCUACUAUGCGAGGCAGAAACAAAUAGACUUCAAGCCUCGGGUUCUUAUAGCGUAAAUGAAAAACAAACUACAAGAUACAGAUACGAAUGUGAGUACGAGUAGAAGUAUGAGUACGAGUAUACUCGUAUAUUAAAUUGCUCAACAAAUAAGUGGAGUACACAUGGUCUUUCUCUCUUUUUUUCUGUGCCCUGCUAAAUAUUUUUUGGUUACCUUAGCGU